GGCGAGCGGGGUGCCUGGACUUGCAAGUUUGUAAUAAAUUGUCCUUAUUUCCAUGGCUUUGUCUCCAGCUGAUUUAAGAAAAGGAGAGAAACCAAGCAUACAAUUCUUGAAGAUAAGGCAUCCCUAAAGGCCCGAGGGAGUGCAGCAAUAACAUUGGAAUGCGAAUGAAAAGAAAAAAUUGCUUGGAGAUGUUGACAAUUUUCCUUUACCUUCCAUGUUCGUUGUUAAUGUUCAAUAAUCGCAAAAUUUACACAGAAAGCAACACAAAGGCUUUCAUCACCAUCUGAUUACUGUUCAGAAGAAUAACCUGAGUCAAGUAUCACACAAUGGAUCCAAGAACUUCCCAUUCAACAUUCAUUGUAAAUGUCUGAUGUUUGCUUAAUUGAAUGAUCACCGUAAUCACAGGCUUUGAAUUUAGAGACCUGCAAUUACUUUUCACUGCAAUAAUUCCUGUUUGUUUCCUCAUAUUCAUCAGUCACAUAGCAAAACAAGAUUUCUCAUUAUUCCUAAAUUCAUUGAUCGAAUUUUACAAUUCAGUUGUUGCUCAUACCUAAUAAUUUUUCAGUCUAGUAUAUGUUGCAAAUGUGGAAUUACGGCUCUUUACAUGAAUAACUAAAUAUAUUGUAGCAUAUAAUCUCUCAAUCAUUGUUAAUAUCAAUUCUUAUUUUGCCCGUGGAAGCAUAGUUGAAUGCAUUUAAAUAUAUUUCAGUUCGAUGCGAACAUUUAUUGUGUUUAUAUUGACAUCAGAUUUAAAUGUUUUUCAUGCAACAAAAUAAUUUAAAAUUUCCUGCGUUUUGUUAAGUCAAAUGAAAAAGAAUUAACACCUCUAUUAUUUCAUUGAACAAUGACAGUACAUUUUUAUUUCUUCGAAGUUGAGCAUUUUUGCAAGGAAGGGAUGUUGCCUUCAGCUGAAUACAUGCAUUGAAUGACGAAUUCACAGAAUCUGCUGUUAUUCUCUGCAAGUUCCCAAAAAAGAAAUUCACUAAUUCUGCUGGUUCUAAAUUCCUGGAAAGUAUUUGAGAAUGUUGUGGUCAUAAAGAUGAAGAAGUAUUUGUACUGAAUUUUUAUUUUUAAUUGGAAAAAGCUUAAUUCAAAUAUUCCAGGCACAUAAAUCGCUAUUCUGCAGUGUUACAAAGAUUAAAAGCAAGUCAAUUUCUUUGGCAGUAAAAUAAACAAAUGUCACUUCCCAUUAUUCAUUAGACAGUUAAAUCCCAAAUUUGUUAUUAAACAAUGCAAUUCAUCUAAAUAUUGUUGUGUCCUUUGCUCAAAUUAAUUUUCUAAUUAUUGUCAUUCAUGAUUUGUCAGGUAUUUGCUUUUGUUUGUUUUCAUUCAUCUAUUCAUAUUGAAUUUAAGAUUAAUAUGCUUUGUCAAUAUCACAGACUGUUCAUUUGAAAUUUGACUUUGCACGUCUCUCACUUCUCUCACUUCUUGCAUGGGGCUCGGUAUUGAGAACAGUGGAUCAGUGGUUAGCACUCUUGCCUUACAAUUUGGGUUCAAUUCCAGCCUUGGCCACCUGUUUGUGUGGCGU